rnacentral:tRNA from 1 species
GCCUGGGUGGCUCAGUUGGUGGAGCGUCUGACUUCAGCUCAGGUCAUGAUCUCACAGUCUGUGAGUUCGAGCCCCGCAUCAGGCU